AUUACAUAAUAAAAUCGAGUUUGGCAAUAAAAAGGAAUAGCCACAAAUUGGAACUGCAUAAUAGAAUUUUAAAUAGUAUUAAACAAAACCAUUCUUCACAUUUGUGACAAAUUCCUUUUGAGUUCUUAUAACUAGCAACCUGUUUUUUGAACACAUGUUCGUGAUGGCUUUUAACUUCCCAUAUCAAAUAGAACACAAUUGAUUUUUCAUGAGGUCCUUGUUUAGAUCUUCAAACUUUAUCAUGCUGAGU
rnacentral:lncRNA from 1 species